rnacentral:rRNA from 1 species
UCGUAAGACUAAAUACUCCUAGGUCACCGAUAGCGAAAAGUACCGCGAGGGAAAGAUGAAAAGAACCAUUUUAAAUGGAGUGAAAUAGAACAUGAAACCGUAUGUUUACAAUUAGUGGGAGGAUGAACACAUCUGACCGCAUGCCUGUUGAAGAAUGAUCUGGCGACUUAGGAGACGUGGCAGGUUAAGAUAUUUAAUCGAAGCCAAAGCGAAAGCAUGUCUGAAUAGGGCAACACGUCCCGUCUUCUAGACCCGAACCCAGGUGAUCUAACCACGACCAGAAUGAAGCUUUGGUGAUACGAAGUGGAGGUUCGAACCGACCGAUGUUGAAAAAUCGACGGAUGAGUUAUGGUUAGGGGUGAAAUGCCAAUCGAACUUGGAGCUAGCUGGUUCUCCUCGAAAUGCGUUGAGGCGCAGCGGUAUAUUAUGAACUUUCCGGGGGUAAAGCUCUGUUUAGGUGCGGGCUGCGAAAGCGGUACCAAUCUUUUGCAAACUAAGAAUACCGGAAAUGAUUUCAAUCUACCAGUGAGACUGCGGGGGACAAGCUUCGUAGUCAAGAGGGAAACAGCCCAGACCACCAGCUAAGGCUCCUAAAUAAAAACUAAGUGGCAAAGGAGGUGAAAAUGCAGUGACAAUCAGGAGGUUUGCCUAGAAGCAGCCAUCCUCUAAGGAGUGCGUAAUAGCUCACUGAUCAAGCGUUUUUGCGCCGAAAAUGACCGGAACUAAGUUUUUUGCCGAAGCUGUGGAUAUAGACACUUAAAGUGCUAUGUGGUAGAGGAGCGUUCCGCAUGGGGGGAAGCCAAGCGCGUAAGCAGCGGUGGACAGUGCGGAAGUGAGAAUGUCAGAUUGAGUAACGAAAACAUUGGUGAGAAUCCAAUGCCCCGAAAACUUAAGGGUUCCUCUGCAAGGCUCGUCCGCAGAGGGUUAGUCAGGACCUAACAUGAGGCCGAAAGGCGUAAUGGAUGGCAAGAAGGUUUAUAUUCCUUCACUAUUGUUUUCUUAGUCCUGAGGGACGAACAAAUGCACACCUUUUUUGUGUCCAGGCUUGGCAGCUUGGAAGUCACACACUAAUGGAUGGACAUUUUUUCCAAGAAAAGCUCAUUCGACUUUGAGAAAACAAUACCUGUACCGUAAACCGACACAGGUGAGUGGGUUGAAUAAACUAAGGGGAGCGAGAUAACUCUCUCUAAGGAACUCGGCAAAUUGGCUCUGUACCUUCGGAAGAAAGAGUGCCCUGUAAAGGGCCGCAGUGAAGAGAUCCAGGCGACUGUUUACCAAAAACACAGGUCUCCGCAAAGUCGCAAGACGAAGUAUGGGGGCUGACACCUGCCCAGUGCCAGAAGGUUAAAGAAGUUGGUCAAUCUUCGGAUGAAGCUGACAACUGAAGCCCUGGUGAACGGCGGCAGUAACUAUAACUGUCCUAAGGUAGCGAAAUUCCUUGUCGGGUAAGUUCCGACCCGCACGAAAGGUGUAACGAUCUGGAUACUGUCUCAGAGAGAGACUCGGUGAAAUAAAAAUAUCUGUGAAGAUGCGGAUUACCUGCACACGGACAGAAAGACCCUAUGAAGCUUUACUGUAACCUGGAAUUGCUCUCAAGCUUAUUUCGCGCAGCUUAGGUGGGAGACGUUGAACCUUUUCUUCCGGGAAAGGGG